rnacentral:rRNA from 1 species
CAGUCGCCGCGGGAAUACAGAGGGUGCGAGCGUUAAUCGGAUUUACUGGGCGUAAAGCGUGCGUAGGCGGCUUCUUAAGUCGGAUGUGAAAUCCCUGAGCUUAACUUAGGAAUUGCAUUCGAUACUGGGAAGCUAGAGUAUGGGAGAGGAUGGUAGAAUUCCAGGUGUAGCGGUGAAAUGCGUAGAGAUCUGGAGGAAUACCGAUGGCGAAGGCAGCCAUCUGGCCUAAUACUGACGCUGAGGUACGAAAGCAUGGGGAGCAAACAGGAUUAGAUACCCGAGUAGUCCCUGUCUCUUAUAA